AAAUCAAAAUCAAUCCAAUUUAAAAAAACAUUCUUUCAUAACAAAAUACAAUCUUUUGAUCCUUAUUAACGAUGCUGGAAUAAUUGAAGAUUUUCCAAGUUAUAGAUAGGAGAGAGACAGUAAGAAAUGAGGAGCCAUUGUAGAGCUUCAUAUUAGAGUCCGAUUAAAUCUAAAUUUGAGUAAAAAAAUUCUAUAUUGGAG
rnacentral:lncRNA from 1 species